rnacentral:rRNA from 1 species
CCAGACUCCUACGGGAGGCAGCAGUAGGGAAUCUUCCGCAAUGGGCGAAAGCCUGACGGAGCAACGCCGCGUGAGUGAAGAAGGAUUUCGGUUCGUAAAGCUCUGUUGUUAGGGAAGAAUGGAUAUGUAGUAACUAUACAUGUACGAGACGGUACCUAACCAGAAAGCCACGGCUAACUACGUGCCAGCAGCCGCGGUAAUACGUAGGUGGCAAGCGUUGUCCGGAAUUAUUGGGCGUAAAGCGCGCGCAGGUGGUUUAAUAAGUCUGAUGUGAAAGCCCACGGCUCAACCGUGGAGGGUCAUUGGAAACUGUUAAACUUGAGUGCAGGAGAGAAAAGUGGAAUUCCUAGUGUAGCGGUGAAAUGCGUAGAGAUUAGGAGGAACACCAGUGGCGAAGGCGGCUUUUUGGCCUGUAACUGACACUGAGGCGCGAAAGCGUGGGGAGCAAACAGGAUUAGAUACCCUGGUAGUCCACGCCGUAAACGAUGAGUGCUAAGUGUUGGUCUCAUAAGAGAUCAGUGCUGCAGCUAACGCAUUAAGCACUCCGCCUGGGGAGUACGACCGCAAGGUUGAAACUCAAAGGAAUUGACGGGGGCCCGCACAAG